rnacentral:ncRNA from 1 species
GGCCGGAUAAGGCGGUACGCCGCAUCCGGCAAGGGUGCCGAACUGCGCCUGAUGCGCUUUGCUUAUCAGGCC